rnacentral:lncRNA from 1 species
AAACGUGCCUUUACGUCAAGUUCGAUGAUUUUGCUAUUCUUGUUUUGCAAUGUUCAUCAAAAUUCAAGUUCUUUUAUUUCAUUUUCUUGAUUAAGAAAUCUCAAAAGUAAAUGCUGCGAGGUUCGAAAUUCGGUGAAUAGUAAGCGAACGUCUUUAUCUUUUCUCACUUAAAUAUUUUUUUUGCACAUGCUACUGCUUCAUAUUCCGCCUACUGCUUCAUAUUCCGCCUACUGCUUCAUAUUCUGCCAUGUGGUUACAUAAUGCUACUGCUUCAUAUUCUGCCAUGUGGUUACAUAUUAAACAUUGCGCUCUUAUCACUAUAUCAAAAUAAUAUGACAUUCACGAUUGUAAAUCUUAUUUACUAAGAAUGAUCUAUUACAUUUAUAAGCGGGGUUGGCCCUUCUUAACAUUCACAGUCUAAUAAUAAUAAUUAUGGAUAUUGUCGAUAAAUAUUCUACCACUAAAAAAUAAGCCCAAGCCAAAUAAUGAUAAGACUUCUCUCAAUAUCAAGUCGUAAUAUAUUUGCCUUCUCAU